rnacentral:rRNA from 1 species
UACGUAGGGGGCUAGCGUUGUCCGGAAUCAUUGGGCGGAAAGCGCGCGUAGGCGGCCCGGUAAGUCCGCUGUGAAAGUCAAAGGCUCAACCUUUGAAUGUCAGCGGAUACUGCCGGGCUAGAGUCCGGAAGAGGUGAGUGGAAUUCCCAGUGUAGCGGUGAAAUGCGUAGAUAUUGGGAGGAACACCAGUGGCGAAGGCGGCUCACUGGACCGGAACUGACGCUGAGGCGCGAAAGCGUGGGGAGCAGACAGG